GGCUCAAUAUUAAAUCGAGAAAAUAUGAUUUUUAUAAGUUAAAAAAAUGGUUUCGAAUGCAUGAUGCAAUUAAAAGAAAAAACAAAUCUAUAUUAUUAAACAAUAAUAAAAAAAAAGAAAAAAAAAAGAAAUAUGAAUAAUAAAGCAUAAAAAGAAAAUAUUAAAAGAAUGAAAAACUACACCUAAGAGUAUUGAACUCACUAUACUAAAGAUCUAGAAGCUACCCCCUCUCCGCUAGACCAAAUGACUAGUUUUUAUUUAUAACAACCAUUUGGGUAUAUAAACCAGAACAAACUGGAAUAAAAUUUUUUGUUAAAAAAAGAAAAUAGGUUGGACUACCAAAUGGGAGAAAACAAAGAAAGAUACCCUAGCCGCCUGGCUGUUGGGUUUUCCAAUGGAACAUGAAUUGAAAAAUCUGAAAAUAUUUAUUAACUAAGACUUAGGAAAUUUAAAUGAAAAUCUUAAUGGUUUCAAAAAAUCUUGUUACGUUACCAAAUAUAAAGAAACAAAUAAAAGAAAAAAAAUGAAACAGAAACCACUCGUUGUCUCUGAGCUCUCUCCUUCUCACCAACUCCAUCGCUUUCCCUCAAUCUCACGAAAUCUCUCGCUCCAUCACUCUUAAUGUUUCUCUCUCGAAAUCUCACUCAAACUCUCGUAUCUCGCCUAACUC
rnacentral:lncRNA from 1 species